rnacentral:misc_RNA from 1 species
GAAAAAUAUAUAUAUAAAAAAUCAAAUCUUUGAUGGAUGAUUCUCCAAAAAAGUGGUAAAUUUUCCAUUCCCAGAAAAUCUCAAGAACCAAAAAGCAAAUGGGGCAGAAUACUGGUGCAAGUGGCAAAGGGAAGAAAGAAGCAGAAACGGAAAAGGAAACAGUGGUAGAAGAAGAAGAAGAGGAAGUUGAAGAAGGUGGAGAAGAAGCUGAACAAGAUGGAAUGUCUGUUCAUUCUCCUUGUAAACCUGCAUCUUCUGCUCUUCGUAAGGAACAAUCACAGGUGGAAUUGGAGAUAAGAUUGUUGGAGGCUCUUGAAAUCUAUCCCCCUGCCAAAUUGAGAGGCAUCCAUCGUCAUUUUGUCCUAUACGGCUUAACAGAGCAUCUGCGUAGAAGCUUCAAUAGGCAAUUUGCUCCUGAUGAUGUUUUGAAGCUGCUGGAUCGCUUCUACAACUUGGAUAUGGUGAAACCAGAGGACGAGGACUCUGAAAUCCUAAAUCAAGAGGAAGAGUUUUGCCUACCUCACAGUUAUUUCUCGAGGGACGAACCUUGAACUAAGUUGGAAUCGAUAUGGAUAUUGAACUUCUACAUAUGGCAGUUUUUGUAUAGUAGUAUCUGGGUGGUUCAAUUUUUUUUUUUUUU